rnacentral:rRNA from 1 species
GACAGAGGGGGCAAGCGUUGCUCGGAAUCACUGGGCGUAAAGGGCGCGUAGGCGGGAUGACAAGUCGGUCGUGAAAUCCCUGGGCUCAACUCAGGGGGGUCGGCCGAUACUGCCAUUCUUGAGGGAUGCAGAGGAGACUGGAAUUCCCGGUGUAGCGGUGAAAUGUGUAGAGAUCGGGAGGAACACCGGUGGCGAAGGCGGCAUUCUGGACCGACAUUGACGCUGAGGAGCGAAAGCCAGGGGAGCAAACGGG